GUUACGCUCGCUUUGGAGAGAAGUUGAAUUUCUCUGGAAAGGAGAAAGGAAUCGGCAUUUAUUGAGCACCUGCUGGAGCAACAAGUUCAUCGCUUUAGAACAUUCUGGACACAGCAUUCCUGGAGGCUCCUCCUGGCUCCACACCGUGAAGAGCCGGCGGGUCCAGAUCCUGCCGGGGCAGAAGCCUCUCGCCAGGAGCGGAGACCUUCAUGCAGGGGAGCGGUUCCCUUUGGCAGAAGCUGCACAGCCGUGAGGCAGCUAAUGAACAGCGCCCCUGGUGUUGACGCAGCUCAGGGUGACCGGGAAGCUCGGAUGACAGUCAAUAGUAUGAAGGCAAGACUAGUCCACAUUUUGGAUGCACCUAGAGUGUUUAUUCUCAC